CUGCUGCCGUCGUUCAGCAUAACAAAUACAUGUCCUCCAGCCUCGUCGAAUCACGCGCUGGUGCUGCGCGCUGCUCUGCCCCAUCGGCGGCUUGCUAGUGCUGCGUGCGUUGCUCUGCUACUGUAGAGAGGAGAGCGCCUGGACGUACGCGGCGACGAAGUCGAGCUCUCGCGAGCUAAGCGACGGCCUCAAGGAGCGCGGCGGCGAGGAGGAGCUACCACCACCUGGCGCUGCGGCCAGCCCGCCCAUCGGCGCGGAGGCCAGCCAACGCGGCGGCGAGCUCCUGCCCCCGGCAACGGCUAGAGGCGGCCGGCAACCAGCUCCCCCGGCUGCGCGGAGGCCAGCACCGCGGCAGCGGCUAGAGGCGGCGCGCAGUGACGGGUGGAGGCGGCGCCCGGUCGCGGCUGUCGAGCUCCUGCCGGCGGCGGCAUGCUCCUCCUGCAAGGCCGUCGAGCUCCUGAGCUGGCGGUCACAGGAGCCGGUGCACACCAAGUGUUUGUUAAAAUGUCCAUCAGUAACUUAGCAGUCAACACAAACUGUCAAACAACUCAAUGCCAUGUCAGCCCUGAAGAGUGGGCCCAACCUGUCAUAAUCAGAUACAAGGCCAGGAUGCACAGGGGCGACUAGCAAAUGGUGCUCAGCAAAGUGCAGCUCAACAGUUCAGAUUUUGGCAGGACAUUCCAAUUUUAGUGAUGGUUAGCAUGCUUGCGUACUUCUGUUUCUUGGAACUACUUCUGGUUACUGAUUUGCAAUCACGCGCGAUUGCAGUUUCAUUGCCUUUCUCGUGUGUGUUGGGCCUCCUUUCUUCUUUGAUAGCAUCCACUAUGGUGACCAAAAGCUACCUAUGGGCCUAUUCAUCCUUCCAGCAUGUUAUUGUGAUCCUGUUUGCGUAUAUCUUUUACAACGUGCUAAGAGUGAAUGCAGUCCUGGCGGUCCUACUCUCGUCGUUCACUGGGUUCGGGAUCGCUAUCAGUACGAACUCACUGCUAGUGGAGUGCAUGAGGUGGAGAUCCAGGAGGAGGAGCCAACGGUUGGCUCAGGGUCAACCUCAGCCCGGGAAUGAAGGUCAGCAUCCAGGAUCCGGGAGUAACGCUACGAGCGAAAACUCUGGUGAUACGCAGCAACAGGGGCAGCCUCCACAAUCCGGUGUUCACAUCGUCUGAUCAUUCAGAUCAAGACGAGAGGUGAUCCAAAUGUGUGAAUAGCUAGCUUUGAUCUGCGCAGUAGUCAUAGCUCGUCAGACCUCAGAAUCACAAUGGUGGCAAGAAUAGAUACACGGGAGGAGAUCUUCCUGGCCUUUGCAUCGGAGGCAACGUGCCACCUAGAGUUUGGCCAUGGGUGUAGUUAGUCUAGCAGUUUGUGACAUAAAAUACCUAGUUUCUUGAGUGUAAGCAUUAUACAAAAUCACACCAGAAAAGCAGAGUGCAGAGAUGGUGGUUGUGUUUUACGUAGUAGCCACACAGGGACAUAGGGAAAUGAGACAUAGUAUGCGAGAGCUCCUUAGCUUUGCUUGUGAGAAGCUUUUACGAAUUAUAUUUGUCUUUUUUUUACGAAUUAUAUUUGUCAAGAGUGAUUUUUGAA